rnacentral:rRNA from 1 species
UACGUAGGGUGCGAGCGUUGUCCGGAAUUAUUGGGCGUAAAGGGCUCGUAGGCGGUUUGUCGCGUCGGGUGUGAAAUCCACUGGCUUAACUGGUGGCUUGCUUUCGAUACGGGCAGACUGGAGGUAUGCAGGGGAGAACGGAAUUCCUGGUGUAGCGGUGAAAUGCGCAGAUAUCAGGAGGAACACCGGUGGCGAAGGCGGUUCUCUGGCAAUGUUCUGACGCUGAGGAGCGAAAGUGUGGGGAGCGAACAGG